CCGUACCGUUUCGGGGAAUUCGUUCCCUCGAUCCACUGUGCACUAGGCUGCGGCCCGCCAAAGCCGCGUCGGGGAGGUCGUUCUCGGGUGCGAGGACGACGCGAGUCGGCGCGAGAGAACCCUCCGCCGGCCUCUCCGACGCGGAGGGCCGCAGUUCUCGUCCUUUUUUUCUCGACCGUAGCGUACCGAACGGGUUGCUGUUUUUAUCGUAUUGUCGAGGAGACAACGUAUAAAAGUUUGAGA
rnacentral:misc_RNA from 1 species